GAUGAACGCUAGCGGCAGGCUUAAUACAUGCAAGUCGAGGGGUAGCAAGAUUGUAGCAAUACAAUUGUUGACGACCGGCAAACGGGUGCGGAACACGUACACAACCUUCCUACAAGUGGGGAAUAGCCCAGAGAAAUUUGGAUUAAUACCCCGUAACAUAGCGAUGUGGCAUCACAUUGCUAUUAUAGCUUCGGCGCUUGUUGAUGGGUGUGCGGCUGAUUAGAUAGUUGGCGGGGUAACGGCCAACCAAGUCGACGAUCAGUAGCUGAUGUGAGAGAAUGAUCAGCCACACGGGCACUGAGACACGGGCCCGACUCCUACGGGAGGCAGCAGUAAGGAAUAUUGGACAAUGGACGCAAGUCUGAUCCAGUCAUGCCGCGUGAAGGAUUAAGGUCCUCUGGAUUGUAAACUUCUUUUAUAAGGGACGAAAAAAGGUCUUUCUAGAUCGUCUGACGGUACCUUAUGAAUAAGCACCGGCUAACUCCGUGCCAGCCGCCGCAGUAACAC
rnacentral:rRNA from 1 species